UUCCAUUUUGUGUUUGGGUGUGAGCAUGUGUCAUUUAAGGGGGGAAAAAAGAAAGGACCUGUUUGAAAUAGUCCAUCCAGUGCCCGUCUGUGAACACCCCCCCCGGGGGGGGCGCUAUUUUAUGGCAGAGGACGCAGGCCAUGCCCCCACAGGGCAGUAGAGAGGCCAGGGGCCCAGGGCUCUGCCCCUCUCUGCACUCACCACCCACCACGCCUUCUGAAGCCUCAGUUUCCCUAUCUGUAAAAGUGAGCAUGCUUGUUCCUCGAUCCCGUGAGAAAACCCGUCCUGAAAUGGCCCUUGGGGGAUUCCACAACUGUCUGCACACCCAUCUUCAGGGCCUGUCUAGCUCUUUUCACAGGUGAAAUGGAGGAAGGAACCAAGCCUGGGACAACGUGACAACUUGACUAAGUCCUCACCCAGGGAGUCACAGCAAACGCCAAGUCUGCUGUGCAGGGACACAGAACCCGCAUGCUUGUUCCGUGUGGGUCGUGAACUCAGCCACCGACGUGCCAUCCCUGGGGAGCCUCCACUGAACUCCCUCAGCCCAGCCCCCCAGCCCCUGGGGCUCAGCAGACACCAGACAGGGGCUGGGGGGUGGGGGGCAGAGCAGCGGCCACUGAGCCCCAUCCCAGGCUCACACAGCUCUGAUCACCCCCCGACCUGACCCUGCUCCAAACCCGGUUCCCUGUCCAGCACUGGAACCUCAUCCCCAUCUCCCUGGUCGCUUCCUCUGUGCUGGGCCCUGACACUUACUCGGCUACCAGCUUGGCUCAACGCCAGCUUUCUCUCGUUCCCUCCCUGCCCCUCCCCCACUUAUUGCUGUGUGACCUUGGACAAGGGGUUGACCUCUCUGAAUCUCUAUUUCCUCCUCUAUAAAACGGAGACCGUAGCAAUAAUCCCCUCAUACGGCUGCUGGGAGGAUUAAGUGGGAUUCUGGGUAGAAAGGCCCUACCAUGCACCCUGGCUUGUAACAGACUGCUCUUCCGUCACACACACACCCCUACCAGCCCCCAUUACCCCUUCAGCUAGCGUCCUGGGUCCCGCUCCUGCAUGCCCCACAGCCCUGCUCAGCCCCAUGUGGACCCUGCAGUCCUCUCCUUCCCAGGUCCCCCCCCCCACAGCGUCCUUUGCCCCAGCGCGUUUGAAAUAUCUGUCAAAUGACAAGGUCUUCUGAACCCAGCGACCUCAUGCCCUUCCCAGAACCCACCCAAAGAAGCCCAGGCCGAGUGAGAAAGUGCAAGUUCCCUGGCCUGACACACCCGGCUUUGCCGAUCGGAUCCCAGCCAGUGGUCCUCAUCACAGCCUCCACUGGUCCCCAGACACACCCAGCUCACUGUCUCUGCUCAGGGGUCCCUCCCCCACAACGCCCAGACCCGGCCUCCUUCUCCAGCUCCCACCCAAGCGCCACCUCCAGAGGCCCGUUCGACCCACUCCUUAGAGAUGACCUCACUCCUCCAAACUCCCCUGGACUCAGGACGUUCACCAGCCCCUCCAGUCAGUACUCAGGGGCGAGGGGUCUCAGAGGGCAGACAUCCACCUCUCGUGGUUAUCAUCCUAAGUCUGCACAGAGCAGCCAUCAGGGGCAGACACUACCCGAAACGGCCGUGCAUGUAAAUGUCACCUGAAAAGGGCCACGAACCUGGGACCCUCAAACUGAAAUUCCAACCCUAGAGGGAGUACGCUGCCCUUGAUGCAAAUCCCUAGGCCCCCAAGCUGGCUUCUUCCAGAGACAGAGGACCCACUGCCUCGUGCACAAGGCUCUUUUCCUGGACUCCGAUCACCUCUGGGACUCCCACACCUCAGCCCUGCUGCCCUCUGGAGCCGCACAGAACCAAGUCAUUUGGGAUUCCUGGCAGCCUCUUCAGAGCCAAACACAGGGCAGGCUGCCAACAAGGCCACUGUGUGCAGGACAGACAUGUGGAGUCAGAGGGCUUUCUCACAUGCUGGGGUGUAUCCAUGCGCGUGUGUGCACGCACGCGUGCACACACACACACGCGAUGCACACACGUACACACGCGUGCACACUCAGACACAUGCACACCUAGGCCAGAGGCAGCAAGGGGGCUGAGUCACGCAGCCAGGCCACAGCUCAAGCGGGGCAGGAAGUGCUGCCCCACUUCCUGAGCCUCUUCCUUUGCUCUGGGAGGUUCUCCUUCUGUCUCUGUCUUUCUCACGCUGUCUCUCCCAGCUCUUGGUUUCUAUUCCUGCAACAGGCUGCUGCUGUUCUGGCCCCGUGGCAACGGCUCCCGAAACCCUGACCUCCAGUCUCGGCUGCACUGCUGGCCCACAGCUGCCAGGCACCGCCCGCCCGCCUGCCCGCCAACCAGCAGCUCCUCCUGACCCGCCACCGGACCUUCUGGGCUGGACCAGCCCCCAGUGGCAGCGGUGGAAGCCGCACCCACAGCCGCUGCCCCCUGGGUGCCCUCCAGGAUCUGCGAGCUAGCCGCCUGGGGCCCCACAGGCUGCGACCUCCAACUGCCCUGAGGAGGGGGAGCCUGGGUGGCGAGGGCGGGGCUGCUGGUGGCUUAGCCUGCCUGACUGGUCGGGCUUCCUGGGCCCCUCUGAGUCUGGGGCCCUAGGCUUCUUGCCCAGAUUCCAGGAUGUUUCCAGGUGUUUGUCUCAAGUUGGACUUGAAUCUGGGGUCUCCCCCUGCCCGACUGGAGAGAGGUGGAGUCUAGCUGUGCCUCCCUGAAACCCCGCAACGUCCACGUCCCCUCCAGCUGGUGCCUCUGGGGAUUCUGUCCUACUUUACACUUUCCCGUCUCUUCUGUGUGUUCUACUGUGGGCACGAGUGCUUGUACAAUAAAAAGCAUCCAAUUAA